UAGGGAAUCUUCCACAAUGGACGCAAGUCUGAUGGAGCAACGCCGCGUGAGUGAAGAAGGUUUUCGGAUUGUAAAGCUCUGUUGUUGGUGAAGAAGGAUAGAGGUAGUAACUGGCCUUUAUUUGCCGGUAAUCAACCAGAAAGUCAUGGCUAACUACGUGCCAGCAGCCGCGGUAAUACGUAGGCGUCAAGCGUUGUCCGGAUUUAUUGUGCGUAAAGCGAGCGCGGGCGGAGGAAUAAGCCUGAUGUGAAAGCCCUCGGCUUAACCGAGGAACUUCCUCGUAAACUGUUUUUCUCGAGCGCAGCAGAGGAGAGUGGGACUCCAUGUGUCGCAGGGGAAUGCGUCGAUAAAUGGCAGAACACCAGUGGCGAAGGCGACUCUCUCGUGUGCGACUGUCGCUGAGGCUCGAAAGCAUGGGUGGCGAACAGG
rnacentral:rRNA from 1 species